GUGUAUAAUGUACUUGAGAAUAGCAACGAGCUGACCGAGCGAGAAUGUGACACGCCGUCUUCUGCGUCAGCCUGACCGACAACCUGUUAAAGCCUGAAAAACUCGUGCUGCUCACGGAGUGCUCACACGGCCCUGAGGAAUUGCGCAUGGCACGCAAGUUGACGAUUGCACACGCCGCGCGUUGCGCCCGUCAAGUCCGCCCGGAACCAAACCCAGCCUUGGUGGGGAACGAUCGAUAAAUUCGAAGUCACAACGUUCUACCGGCGAGUAAGCAUUCCGCUGUGUUAUCCGAGAGUUCGACCGUACGAGCGACAAGCCAAAGCCAAGAUGCCGGGACCAGGAUGCGACAAGUGCAAGGAUAAAUGCCAGGAUUGCAAGUGUGGCGACAACUGCUCGUGUUGUGAGUCCGGAUGCAAGGAUCAAUGUAGCUGCAAGUCGGGUGGAAAUUGCACAUGCAAACCUUGCACCUGUUAAUUCAUAACCAUGUCAAGGACAAUCUACGUUGCAAGCUAUAAUACAUUCCUAAUAUGCCAGAGUAAAUCCAAUAUAUAGGCAAAAUUCGAAAUAUAUGAUUGACAAUGUAAAACCCUACGCUUACAAUUAGUAAAAGUUAGAGAUGCAAGGCGAAGCUUUCGUUUUUCUGUUAAAUAAUUAAUAAAUUAAUAAAAUUCAUAAACUUUAAGUA